AAUAGAUACCCGGGUAGUCCACGCUGUAAACGUUGGACACUAGGUGUGGCGGUCUGAUCAACGACUGCCGUGCCGAAGCUAACGCAUUAAGUGUCCCGUCUGGGGAGUACGGCCGCAAGGCUAAAACUCAAAGGAAUUGACGGGUCCCCGCACAAGCGGCGGAGCAUGCGGCUUAAUUCGAUGCAACCCGAAGAACCUUACCUGGGUUUGACAUCAUGGGAAAAGCCGUGGAAACACGGUGUCCGUAAGGGCCCAUGACAGGUGGUGCAUGGCUGUCGUCAGCUCGUGUCGUGAGAUGUUGGGUUAAGUCCCGCAACGAGCGCAACCCUUGUCCUAUGUUGCCAGCGGUUCGGCCGGGGACCCAUAGGAGACUGCCGGGGAUAACUCGGAGGAAGGUGAGGACGAUGGUCAAGUCAUCAUGCCCCUUAUAUCCAGGGCUGCACGCAUGCUACAAUGGUCGGUACAACGGGCAGCGAUCCUGCGAAGGUGAGCGAAUCCCACAAAGCCGGCCUCAGUUCGGA
rnacentral:rRNA from 1 species